CACCAGCUACCGUCCUAUAGCCUCUCGAAUCCAGUCUGCUCAGUAAAAUAAGAUUCUACCUGAAAUCGGAUAUAUAUCGGAUCUCUCCCAAUCUCUUCAUUACACUAUCAUGUGUCCUCCAGUUGACCAUCCCGAUGUCUCUGAUUGUACAGCUCGAUCUAUCUGACAGAUAAACAGUGCUCUCACUGCUUUCUAAGGAGUCAAACUACUC
rnacentral:lncRNA from 1 species